rnacentral:rRNA from 1 species
AUACGGAAGGUCCGGGCGUUAUCCGGAUUUAUUGGGUUUAAAGGGAGCGCAGGCGGAGAUGCAAGCGUGACGUCAAAUUUCGGGGCUCAACCCCGUCUCGCGUCGCGAACUGCGUCCCUUGGUUGCGGGAAGGGGAGGCGGAACUCGCGGUGUAGCGGGGGAAUGCAUAGAUAUCACGAAGAACUCCGAUCGCGAAGGCAGCCUUCCGGCCCGUCAACGACGCUCAUGCUCGAAGGUGCGGGUAUCAAACAGGAUUAGAUACCCUGGUAGUCCGCACAGUAAACGAUGGACACCCGCGGUUUGGCCUGUAUGGCUGAGCCGCCAAGCGAAAGCGUUAAGUGUCCCACCUGGGGAGUACGCCGGCAACGGUGAAACUCAAAUGAAUUGACGGGG